GGGGUUUCGUACGUAGCAGAGCAG
rnacentral:piRNA from 8 species